UCAGCCCCAGCCUCGCCGCCGCCGCCUUGGAUAGCCGGGGCACGUACGCCUAGAUUAGGGUGGGGGAUGUUCGGGAUGCGAGCGAGCGGCGCGGGGAUGGGCACCUGUACGACGACCCGGAUGCCGUCGCCAUCCUGGCGCUCCUCGACUCCCCGCUUCGACGGCGAUAAGUCGACGCGCUCAAGCAUCGCGCAUGGCGUCUACGCUGACCACGUCUCCCGGCAGGUGGUCAGGAACGUCUCGCGUAGUCGCUUGAGGUGAAGAAGCUCGUCUAACUCUACCUGCUCCACUACGCCAAGAAAAAUGUUAUUUUCAGGAAGAUUCAAGGGAUUCGAGUAGUGACCAGAAGCAUUGAAGAUUUUGCUAAGCAAGGCAAGCAACCUACUUUGAUCAUGGUGGACCCAUAUUUGCAUACACACUUUAUUAUUAUUUUUCAUGCAUAAAGUAUUGUUUGCUAUUAUUAUUGCCAUGGUAAGUAAAUUAGCCAGGGUUUAGCUAUGACCUAUGUGCUUGAU